AGAGUUUGAUCAUGGCUCAGAACGUACGCUGGCGGCACGCCUAACACAUGCAAGUCGAACGCAGUAGCAAUACUGAGUGGCAGACGGGUGAGUAACAUGUGGGAAUCUGCCUUGUGGUUCAGGACAACAUUGGGAAACCGAUGCUAAUACUGGAUAAGCCCUUACGGGGAAAGUUUUAAUGCCAUAAGAUGAGCCCGCAUUUGAUUAGUUAGUUGGUGAGGUAAUGGCUCGCCAAGACAAUGAUCAAUAGCUGAUCUGAGAGGAUGAUCAGCCACACUGGGACUGAGACACAGCCCAGACUCCUACGGGAGGCAGCAGUGGGGAAUCUUGCACAAUGGAGGAAACUCUGAUGCAGCGAUGCCGCGUGAGUGAAGAAGGCCUUUGGGUUGUAAAGCUCUUUUGUAGGGGAAGAUAAUGACUGUACCCUAAGAAUAAGGAUCGGCUAACUCCGUGCCAGCAGCCGCGGUAAUACGGAGGAUCCAAGCGUUAUCCGGAUUUAUUGGGUUUAAAGGGUGCGUAGGCGGCUUUUUAAGUCAGGGGUGAAAGACGGUGGCUCAACCAUCGCAGUGCCCUUGAUACUGAAGAGCUUGAAUACACUAGAGGUAGGCGGAAUGAGACAAGUAGCGGUGAAAUGCAUAGAUAUGUCUCAGAACACCAAUUGCGAAAGGCAGCUUACUAUGGUGUUAUUGACGCUGAGGCACGAAAGCGUGGGGAUCAAACAGGAUUAGAUACCCUGGUAGUCCACGCCCUAAACGAUGAAUACUCGAUGUUAGCGAUAAACAGUUAGCGUCUAAGCGAAAGCGUUAAGUAUUCCACCUGGGGAGUACGCCCGCAAGGGUGAAACUCAAAGGAAUUGACGGGGGCCCGCACAAGCGGAGGAGCAUGUGGUUUAAUUCGAUGAUACGCGAGGAACCUUACCCGGGCUUGAAAGUUAGUGAAUAAUUCAGAGAUGAAUUAGUGAGCAAUCACACGAAACUAGGUGCUGCAUGGCUGUCGUCAGCUCGUGCCGUGAGGUGUUGGGUUAAGUCCCGCAACGAGCGCAACCCCUAUGUUUAGUUGCCAGCAUGUAAUGAUGGGGACUCUAAACAGACUGCCUGUGCAGACAGAGAGGAAGGAGGGGACGACGUCAAGUCAUCAUGGCCCUUACGUCCGGGGCUACACACGUGCUACAAUGGAUGGUACAGAGGGCAGCUACUUAGCAAUAAGAUGCCAAUCUCAAAAAGCCAUUCACAGUUCGGAUAGAGGUCUGCAACUCGACCUCUUGAAGUUGGAUUCGCUAGUAAUCGCAGAUCAGCAAUGCUGCGGUGAAUACGUUCCCGGGCCUUGUACACACCGCCCGUCAAGCCAUGGAAGCUGGGGGUACCUGAAGUACGUAACCGCAAGGAGCGUCCUAGGGUAAAACUGGUAACUGGGGCUAAGUCGUAACAAGGUA
rnacentral:rRNA from 1 species